rnacentral:rRNA from 1 species
AUACGGAGGGUGCGAGCGUUGUUCGGAAUUAUUGGGCGUAAAGAGCAUGUAGGCGGUCUGUUAAGUCUGGUGUGAAAGCCCGGGGCUCAACCCCGGAAGUGCAUUGGAUACUGGCAGACUUGAGUAUGGGAGAGGAAAGCGGAAUUCCGAGUGUAGGAGUGAAAUCCGUAGAUAUUCGGAGGAACACCAGUGGCGAAGGCGGCUUUCUGGACCAAUACUGACGCUGAGAUGCGAAAGCGUGGGGAGCAAACAGAAUUAGAAACCCGUGUAGUCC